rnacentral:rRNA from 1 species
GACGAACGCUGGCGGCGUGCUUAACACAUGCAAGUCGAACGGAAAGGCCCUGCUUUUGUGGGGUGCUCGAGUGGCGAACGGGUGAGUAACACGUGAGUAUCCUGCCCUUGACUUUGGGAUAACUUCAGGAAACUGGGGCUAAUACCGGAUAGGAGCUCCUGCUGCAUGGUGGGGGUUGGAAAGUUUCGGCGGUUGGGGAUGGACUCGCGGCUUAUCAGCUUGUUGGUGGGGUAGUGGCUUACCAAGGCUUUGACGGGUAGCCGGCCUGAGAGGGUGACCGGCCACAUUGGGACUGAGAUACGGCCCAGACUCCUACGGGAGGCAGCAGUGGGGAAUAUUGCACAAUGGGCGGAAGACUGAUGAAGCAACGCCGCGUGCGGGAUGACGGCCUUCGGGUUGUAAACCGCUUUCGCCUGUGACGAAGCGUGAGUGACGGUAAUGGGUAAAGAAGCACCGGCUAACUACGUG